GACGAACGCUGGCGGCGUGCUUAACACAUGCAAGUCGAACGGAAAGGCCCUGCUUUUGUGGGGUGCUCGAGUGGCGAACGGGUGAGUAACACGUGAGUAACCUGCCCUUGACUUUGGGAUAACUUCAGGAAACUGGGGCGAAUACCGGAUAGGAGCUCCUGCUGCAUGGUGGGGGUUGGAAAGUGUCGGCGGUUGGGGAUGGACUCGCGGCUUAUCAGCUUGUUGGUGGGGUAGUGGCUUACCAAGGCUUUGACGGGUAGCCGGCCUGAGAGGGUGACCGGCCACAUUGGGACUGCGAUACGGCCCAGACUCCUACGGGCGGCAGCAGUGGGGAAUAUUGCACAAUGGGCGGAAGCCUGAUGCAGCAACGCCGCGUGCGGGAUGACGGCCUUCGGGUUGUAAACCGCUUUCGCCUGUGACGAAGCGUGAGUGACGGUAAUGGGUAAAGAAGCACCGGCUAACUACGUG
rnacentral:rRNA from 1 species